rnacentral:rRNA from 1 species
AGCGAACGCUGGCGGCGUGCCUAAUACAUGCAAGUCGAACGAGAAAGUGGCUUCGGCCAUGAGUAAAGUGGCAGACGGGUGAGUAAUACUUAGGUAACCUGCCCUGAAGAUGGGGACAACCUUCCGAAAGGAGGGCUAAUACCGAAUGAGACCACAGUGCCUGCGGGUACAGGGGUGAAAGUUGGCAUCUAUUUAUAAGCUAACACUUCAGGAUGGGCAUAAUCACAAUUAGCGAGUUGGUAGGGUAACGGCCUACCAAGGCUAUGAUGGUUAGCUGAUCUGAGAGGUUGAUCAGCCACACUGGAACUGAGACACGGUCCAGACUCCUACGGGAGGCAGCAGUAAGGAAUAUUGCGCAAUGGGGGAAACCCUGACGCAGCGACGCCGCGUGGGUGAUGAAGGCUUUCGGGUCGUAAAGCCCUGUCGAAUGGGACGAACGAUAUUAUGGCUAAUAUCCAUAGUAAGUGACGGUACCAUUAAAGGAAGCACCGGCUAACUACGUGCCAGCAGCCGCAGUAAAAC